rnacentral:tRNA from 1 species
GAGGGUACGGCUCAGGGGUAGAGCGCAUACUUAGCAGGCACAAGGUCCUGGGUUCGAUCCCCAGUACCUCCA